rnacentral:lncRNA from 1 species
UAAUAUAUAAGGGUAAAAGCUAUUUUCCGUCAAUCUAGAUAAGAGGCUAAGACAAGCUGGUUCAUGUUCAAGAAUUACAAGGAACUAUUAAGGGAGGAUAAAAAUAGUGGUUAGUGACCUCCCACGUUCAAUAAAGAUUCCAUGAUAUAACAGCUAUUAAGAUGAAACUCACUAAAGCUUAGAUUGUGCAUUAAUACAUUAUCAUAGAUCUUAUCAAAUUGUCUUUACUACCAUAAAGCUGACUGAACUCAGCUAACAAAACAAUGUGAACAAUCAAGUUUAGACCUCCUUAUAUAGGUAAUUGAUUAACUUGUACAUUCCAUUCACUGUCUGGACUCAUUAUACAGCACAAAAACUGAAAGAAUUAGACAAACACAGAAAGGCAUGCACAUGCAGAAAGUGAUACAAGAAUACCUUCUCUACAUGAUCAAAUACUAUCACAUCAUCAUACAGCCCCAGAUGAAUGUCAGCAAGGCUCCGAUCAUCGCGUGGCGCCUGAGAGAAUGGCAGCUUCUUCUUCUCAAGGUACCUAACAGUGUCGUAAGAAAAAUAACCAACCCAUCCACCUGCGCAUGAUGCCCAAAGAACUCGUAAUUAAGUAUACAAGAAAAGUUGUAAACCUAGCAAUACAGUCUCCACUUUUAUUUCUGUUCACCUCUCAAGUAAGAGCCUACCAUACAAUUUUUCACAGCAAAUUCGUUUCAAACAUUGACUUUAUGUCUAAAAUGCAGUAACUCUAUCAAAAGACAUGUCAGGCACAAAAGAAAGCACAUCCAAAACAGGAAUGAAUAGAAAAAAUAGCUACUUCCGAACUAAAUUCUUCUACUCCCAGUAAUGGAAGGUAGUUGGGAAAGUAAGAGAAACAUAAUAAUACCAAAAAGUGUGUGAUUCUUCGAAAUAUAUGGAUGUCCAUGAUUAUCGUCUUUUAAAGAGGGCAUAUUUAGAUCUCCAAACAACAAGAAUUCCCUGUAUUAAAUAAGAAUUUUGACGUCUAACAUUCCGAUGCCUCCACCAGUUCAGUCAAGAAGAGUGCCACUGAUGGAGAAGAAACAGCAAGUUUAUGGGACACACUCAAAUUACAUCUCCUACUUUCUACAUUUGAAGUCACUAGAUACUAAUUUCAGUAACAGAGAGAACCCAUAAAACCUCUCCGUUACAACGGCCAAAUUCCUGUCUAUCACAAAACAAUCUUCAUCCAUGGCUACAGGCUGUUGGAACACAAUUCUGGGAAGGAAAAGCCCAAAAGUUUAUGUCCAUCACAAAUCUUACCCUAACUCCUUCACGGAAUCCUCAUAAUCUGAUGUGCAAAAACAUUACUUACUGUUCUUACAGAAUAAACAGGAAGUUACAGGAUACAACCUCAAAAAAGGAAAAGUAUUUCACGAGUUUACUCGAUUAUGAAACUUCACGUUUUUAUUCGAACUUCAGAAAAGUUUUUUUUUUUUUUUUUGAAUGAUGCACAAUUAAAUUUUGUUUUAAAAGAAAUGGAAAACCUGAGCCGACUUGAAAACAAAAGAAUAGACAGAUAAAUAAGAAUAUUCUAGUUAACGAGUCCAACUAGAAAGGAAAAACGAAAUUACUGGUUCGAGUAAUGUUAAAGUCAUACCACAAAAUGUAUCAGGAAGUUCACUAAUCAACUGAGGCUUCCAACUUUCAGAAAUUUCUCUUGGAAUCGUCAUCGGGUCCUCCACAACAAUCUCCUUCAACUUCCCUUUGUAGUGAUCCAAGAUGGUGACAUCAUUUUCUUUUGCCACGAUUUCCACCGCUGGCUGAGCACCGACCACGCUGUACCGACCCUAACAAUUCCCAUUUUCAACACCAGUUAAACCAAAAAUCUACAAACAUCAUAAAACACGUGCUAUAAUGGAAAAACCAUAUUCUGAAGGGGAACAUAGAGGCUUACAACAUGGGAAGUUCGGAAACCAGGUUCUACGGACUCGAAAAGAAAGCUAGGAGCCUCCCGGUCGUCUUCUUUAACUAAGCAGCGGUAUGCAAGCACGGGAGUCAGAUGAUCCGAGAAAAUACAUUGGUAGAGCGGAAUGACAUUUCCAUGUCUGGAAGCUUCCAUAAAUCUUUUUUUAUCCGUCACUGAAUAAAUUGAGAACACAAAAGAAUAAAUAAAAAAGAUCCACGAUUGAAACAACCAUGUAAUUAAAGCAUAGUUGAAAAAUGAAGGGACAUUUUAGGGAUAACGAUACUAUUUAUGGCAGCGUUUUCACCUGAACGAGUGAAACAAAAAUCAUGAAGUCCAGCACAGAUUAUACAGAAACAAUUUGAGCAUUAACCAAUGAAUGAGCGUACCUGGAGAUGAAGACUGGAGAGAGCAACAUUGGAGUGAAGGAAGGGAGCGACGAAGAGAGAGACGUGAGCUAAAGCUGUGACUAGGGGAGAAUUCGAAGGAAACAACCGGACACAAGCGGCGGUUCACCGGAGAUAACCGGUAAUUGGCAGGAGAAAGUCGAUUGGGAGCAUGUAGGGCUUGCAUUAUUAGUUUUUUUCUCUCUAAUUAUAACGGCCUGGUGCAUUCAACCUUCCGAGGGACUCAGAAGAAGGAACGGAAGCCAAUGCUGAAAAUGUGAAAUGCAGCUUAUUACACUUCACCGUCUGCGAAUGCUGCUCGGAGCAAAUAAGGACAGGAAGGACAGCGGUGAGUGCACCAGACUCCAGAGGAGAUUUUGGGGGAUAGUACAAAUAAGAGGAAGAGAGUUUAGGAAUCUGGUUGAGAGUUGAGGGUUGAGACGGUGCGUCUCGUCUCGAAGUUGUGUCGAAUUCUUUUACAGCGUCAGCGAGCACGUACUCCUAAUAUGCACCGCUUCCAAGCCAUUAGCCACUCUAUUUAUAGUCACACGCCUCUGCCCAUUUACUCCAGAAGGCCUGUUUAACUGGGGCGAAACUUUCACACCAAAAAUGUGAAGAAUUAAUUUUUAGGGUUAAUUACAAUUUGCUUCCUUAAACUUGACCCUUUAUAACAUUUUGCCCCCAUAAACUUUAAAUAUAUAUACUUUGCCCCAUUCAUUGACUAGUCAAAUAUUAAUGAUGAAUUCUCCCCCCAAAAUUUUAACAAAAUGGCAUUAAUGCCCUUACAUAAUAGUUCUACAAUAAUGCUAUACUUUUAAUCAAAAUAUAAAACAUUUUGUUAGAAAAAACACAAAGUCAUAUGAUUUAAAAAAUUUAGAAAUAAAAGAUGGUAUAAUACCAAAGAAUUGAAAAUUUUUUUAUGGAGAAAAAAAGAAUUUAAAAAAUCCUAAAACAUCAGCACAAGUUUUCCAUUACUUAUCUUUAUUCCUUUAAAUUGUAAACAGAUUAGUUUUGAUAAUUUUCAUUUACUUUGCAGCUGUCACAAGAUUUUCACGAGUCAAUAAAAUGUUAUUUGGUAAUUUUAUAUCACAUUCAUACGUUGCUUUGUAUUUUAUUUGCAUUCUACAUUCUACAUUUUUAAAAAAAAAAUUAAGUUCUCUAAUACAUUUUUAUUUUUAAUUAUGUUUUUUUUCUCAUAUAAAACACAUAAAAAAGUGCUACAAUAAAAAAAAUAAGCAAAUAAUUUCAUUCCAAAUGCACUAAUUAAUUUUAUUUCAUUUAAAAUAAGUAUUGCUACCGACAUUGAGAUAAAUACAUUGAGUUGGUUAAAUUCUUUUUUGCAAAUUAUCUAAUUCAUUUUAAGGCUAAAAGAUCGAAAUGCCUAAUGUAAUUGUAUUUAGAUGCAUUUAGCAAUUAUAAAAAAAAAAGGUGUUUAUUAUGUUAUGAGUGUUUAAGAAUUAGCCAAGGAUGUUUUUGUCAUGAAAAAUAUAACUUCAUCUUAACUCCGUCAAAAAGUUGAUUAUAAAGGGUAAAGUAUAUAUAUUUGGAAUUAGAGGGGCAAAGUGUUACAAAUACCCAAGUUCAAGGGAGCAAAAUGUAAUUAACCCUAAUUUUUAUACAUUCAUUGUGUAUAGACUUUUUAAUUAGGGCACAACUUCACGCGAAAAAUAUAAAGAAUUGAUCUUUUAUAUAAUGAUAAUGUAUAUACUUUCAGCAUGAUAUAUUACACAUGAUCUAGAUUUGAAUUUAAAAUCCAAUCCUAUAUAUAGAUUACUCAAAUGUAUGCCUUCUUUUAGCACAACCAUGACGACUUGUAAUCCAUAUACAAAACUUGAUUUAACAACCGUGGAGACAGUUUUCUCUAGACAAAACCAUGAAACGAACAACUAUUAGUAUAAUUUAGGUAAAUGAACUAGUCAUUAAGCUAUAAACCAUCAAUUUAUGUUAAGUUUUAUAUGCCUACUUAUCUUACGAUGUCGUCAUUAGGUAACUGUAUCCUUCCUUCAUCAAAUGAUAAUUGAUCAUUUUUAUGAAGGCAUUCCAGAAAUGUUAACAGAACUAAUUUACAGAUUUUUUACCUAAUAUGGGUCCAAAAAUGAUAAACAAACAAAUGAUGUUUAGUUGAGUUUUAUAUGCCGACUUAUUUUUCGAUGCCAUCAUUAGGUAACUACCUUUCCUUCAUCAAAUAAUAAUUGAUCAUGUAUUGGAAGGUUUUCCAGAAAUGUCAACAAAAUGUAAUUUAUAAAUUUUUUCCCUAAGAUGGGACCAAAACAGAUAAACAAAAAAUAAAACAAAAUGGAGAAAUUUUAUUACAAUCUAAAUCAAUUAUUAGUUUGGCAUAAUUUUAUUUGAAGCAUUUUCAUUGGUUAAAAACUAGUAACUACUAGGUUUGAUUGUAAUAAAGAUUUUUUUCAAACAAAAACGUAGGUUUGACACGCAAAGAAUACCAGUUAUUUUUACGAAAUUAAUGAAAUGAUUAGUAUGAAUAUCCAUUCGUCUCCCCAAAAGAUACAUUGAAACGUUCAUCUUUAAAGGUUCAUUGGAAUAGCAUCUUCUUAUAAGUUUGUUUGUUGGUUCAUUAUGGAGCUAAAUUCAUGUAUUUGAAAUAUAUAGUAAAUUCAUGCACUUAUAUAUUCAUGCUAGUACAUAUACCUUUGAUCUUGUAUCAUUUAUAAAUAGAGGUAUAUAAGACUCAUUUCUAAUAUUUGAAUAAAAAAACAUUCUCACUAUUUCCUUUUCUCCGUUCUACAAUCUUCAUUUUCUACUUGUAAGGAAUUUAUUUUAUUAAUUUCACAAUAAUUUAUUUAAUAUUAAUGAAUUCUCAAAAUUCAUACGUCUCGUCUCUCAACCAACACUAAACGUCUAAAAAUACAUUGGGCACAAAGUAAGGAUAUAGUACUAACUUUUGGUGCUCCACUAACUGUACCAACAGGAAGUGCAGCACGCAGUGCAUCCCAGCAAGUAAGAUGAUCAAGCAACUCCCCUGUGACCUGUAAUAAUGUCCCAAUGGUUUUAAACAAAAUGGUUACUCAAAUAAAGCCUUCUUCAACUCUCAUGAGUUUAUGAAGGUGUUAUGAGGCCAAGACAUUUAAAGCUACUGAAAUGAAACAACUUCUACCCGCAGGAAAACCGGCAACUCUCUAGUAUGAAAACCAAACUAUAUUGUCCAUACUAUGUAAUUACUGCAACAGGGAUGAACAAUUUUAUUUGAAAAACUGAUAGUCAACAAGGCUUUAUGAUGAUAUUCUCACCGUGGAGCUUAUGUGCAUCACAUGGGAGUACCGCUCAACAGUCAUAAGUUUUUCAACAUUUACAGAACCUGGCUUCGAGACCUACAUUUGACAAAUCUUAUAAUGUUACUUAUGACAGUGUAGAGAAAGCAUAGAAAAAUAUGGAAGAUCCAACAUACGUUUUCUGAAAAGUCUGCAAUAGAUACCAUAUGUUUAGGGCAGGGAGCAGAUCAUAUUUACAAACUCCCAAAUAUAAACAUUAAUAACAAAAAUGCAAGAAAAUUUUUUACAAGAGAGUAAAGUAAGUCAGUAAAACCUUUCCCACAUCAUUACGGCCCAAAUCGACCAGCAUUAUAUGUUCUGCACAUUGCUUUUUAUCUUUUAAAAGCUGCAGCUCCUGCAUCUCAUCUUCAUGAGGUGUCUUCCCUCUUCUUGUAGUUCCAGCCAAUGGUCGAUUAACAACCCUUUUCUGUCAAUAACAUUGAUACAUCCACAUUAAUUCUGUAUCAAGAGCUGUAUACUCAAGGCCAAAGUUUAAUGAUUUUCAGAAUUUAAUCUGUAAAUAACCUUCUUGACACGAGUAAGAAUUUCUGGGCUUGAAGCAACAUGAAUACUUCCUCUAGCCUGAUCAAAUAAUGAAGACACCAUAGUUGGAAAACUUACUUCAGACAAUUAAGAGAAUGGAUGUUCUUUGUAUUAAUAGAAGUACUAACCUGCAAGUAAGCCAUGUAGGGACUUGGAUUUAUUACUCUCAGUGCUCUGUAGACUUCAAAUGGAUCAGCAAAUGUUCUCUUCUCAAAGCGCUGACUUAAAACAAUCUGAAAAAUAUCUCCAGCAAGGAUAUGCUCCUUUGCCUGUAUGACAGCCUUCUUGUACUCUUCUCUUGUCAUGUUACUCUUGUUCAGAGAGAAUCCAAAAUUGUUAGUCCACAAUUCAACAGAUCCUGCUGAUAGCCUUGGACUGAAAAUGGAAAUUUAAUAUGUUAUGAUACAGAAGAUGUAAAAUCAAAAUUGAACCAAGAAAAUGUUAUGAUAUAGAAGAUUCAAACAGUAACUUACGGAUCAAUAUUUUGUACUUUUGACAUUAGUCUUUCCAAGCGUUUCAUACCACUAGUGUAAGCCUUCUCUUUUGAUGGAUACUGAUCUAACUGCACCCAGUGGAUAACAUAUGCUUUCUGCAUGAACAAGAAGGAUUCUUAAUAAUCACUCAGGAAGAAUUUCCGAAACAAAUGCAAUUGGGUGAGCCCUGAGAGAGAUCACGGUGACCAUAACUAAUAUAUAAGGGUAAAAGCUAUUUUCCGUCAAUCUAGAUAAGAGGCUAAGACAAGCUGGUUCAUGUUCAAGAACUAUUAAGGGAGGAUAAAAAUAGUGGUUAGUGACCUCCCACGUUCAAUAAAGAUUCCAUGAUAUAACAGCUAUUAAGAUGAAACUCACUAAAGCUUAGAUUGUGCAUUAAUACAUUAGCAUAGAUCUUAUCAAAUUGUCUUUACUACCAUAAAGCUGGCUGAACUCAGCUAACAAAACAAUGUGAACAAUCAAGUUUAGACCUCCUUAUAGGUAAUUGAUUAACUUGUACAUUCCAUUCACUGUCUGGACUCAUUAUACAACACAAAAACUGAAAGAAUUAGACAAACACAGAAAGGCAUGCACAUGCAGAAAGUGACACAAGAAUACCUUCUCUACAUGAUCAAAUACUAUCACAUCAUCAUACAGCCCCAGAUGAAUGUCAGCAAGGCUCCUAUCAUCGCGUGGCGCCUGAGAGAAUGGCAGCUUCUUCUUCUCAAGGUACCUAACAGUGUCAUAAGAAAAAUAACCAACCCAUCCACCUGCACAUGAUGCCCAAAGAACUCGUAAUUAAGUAUACAAGAAAAGUUGUAAACCUAGCAAUACAGUCUCCACUUUUAUUUCUGUUCACCUCUCAAGUAAGAGCCUACUGUACAAUUUUUCACAGAAAAUUCGUUUCAAACAUUGACUUUAUGUCUAAAAUGCAGUAACUCUAUCAAAAGACAUGUCAGGCACAAAAGAAAGCACAUCCAAAACAGGAAUGAAUAGAAAAAAUAGCUACUUCCGAACUAAAUUCAUCUACUCCCAGUAAUGGAAGGUAGUUGGGAAAGUAAG